rnacentral:rRNA from 1 species
UACGAAGGGGGCUAGCGUUGCUCGGAAUCACUGGGCGUAAAGCGCACGUAGGCGGACUCUUAAGUCGGUGGUGAAAUCCUGGGGCUCAACCUCGGAACUGCCUUUGAUACAGCAAGUCUUGAGUUCGAGAGAGGUGGGUGGAAUUCCUAGUGUAGAGGUGAAAUUCGUAGAUGUUAGGAAGAACACCGGUGGCGAAGGCGGCCCACUGGCUCGAUACUGACGCUGAGGUGCGAAAGCGUGGGGAGCAAACAGG